UACAGAGGUCUCAAGCGUUGUUCGGAUUCAUUGGGCGUAAAGGGUGUGUAGGUGGCGCCGUAAGUCGGGUGUGAAAUUUCGGAGCUUAACUCCGAAACUGCAUUCGAUACUGCGGUGCUUGAGGACUGGAGAGGAGACUGGAAUUCAUGGUGUAGCAGUGAAAUGCGCAGAUAUCAGGAGGAACACCAAUUGCGAAGGCAGCUCGCUGGGACGUAACUGACGCUGAGACGCGAAAGCGUGGGGAGCAAACAGG
rnacentral:rRNA from 1 species